rnacentral:hammerhead_ribozyme from 1 species
AUCUAGCUGAUGAGUCCCAAAUAGGACAAAACGCGCAUCAUGUAU